GAGACUGUAGCAUAAUUGGUUAAUGCAAAUCGCUCAUAAUGGUUCUAAUUUAGGGUUCAAAUCCCUACAGUCUUA
rnacentral:tRNA from 1 species